rnacentral:rRNA from 1 species
GAAUUUUGGACAAUGGGCGCAAGCCUGAUCCAGCCAUUCCGCGUGCAGGAUGAAGGCCCUCGGGUUGUAAACUGCUUUUGUACGGAACGAAACGGCCUUUUCUAAUACAAGAGGCUAAUGACGGUACCGUAAGAAUAAGCACCGGCUAACUACGUGCCAGCCGCCGCGGUAAGACGUAGGGUGCGAGCGUUAAUCGGAAUUACUGGGCGUAAAGCGUGCGCAGGCGGUUAUGUAAGACAGGUGUGAAAUCCCCGGGCUUAACCUGGGAACUGCAUUUGUGACUGCAUAGCUAGAGUACGGUAGAGGGGGAUGGAAUUCCGCGUGUAGCAGUGAAAUGCGUAGAUAUGCGGAGGAACACCGAUGGCGAAGGCAAUCCCCUGGACCUGUACUGACGCUCAUGCACGAAAGCGUGGGGAGCAAACAGG